AAGGAAGUACUGUAGCUGUCUUCUACUGCAGUGACAAGAUGGAGAUACCUGCAUGUGUCUGCUUACGUUUCUUUUCAUUUCUUUGGCUGUUGGUGGGUAUGUUGGAAGGUACUGAAUCUGAACAAGUAAUCGACUGCUAUGGUUUAAAAGGAAAGUCUUUCCUUCUGGAUGUGGAAGGAGUGAAGACAGAAGAAUUACGACGAUUUUACUGGAAGUUGAACUAUACCCAAACUAUACUGGAAUACACAUUACAUAAUACUCAUCUCGACAUUUUUCCUCAAUAUAAGGAGAAAGUUAUGUUCUAUCAGAAAAAUUUCUCUCUUCAAAUUCUUAAACUGGAGGAGUCAAAUAGAGGAAUUUACACAGCGAUAACACAGGAUAGACAUGGAAAAGAUAAGAACAUUGUGUUUUACAGAUUAAUCCCCCAAGAUUCUGUGAUUAAACCAGAGUUAAAGGUGAAGUCAGCUUCAGUCAGUGAAGAGCGCUGCAACAUCUCUGCUACUUGCACUGUCGGUCAAGACAAUUCUGUUUCCUACCGCUGCCAGCAGACACAAUGCACUGAAGUUGGAAGAGACUACACAGAGUCGGAUGACCUGAAGAUCGUUGUCACUGUAAAGAACAGCAGUAUUGUGUGCAAUGCCAGCAACCGAGUCAGCAAUGAUUCUCAUUCGUUGGCUUUAAAAGAUGUCUGUAGAAACAGCGAGCCCCACAACGCAGCAGGGAUCAUUGGUGUGACAGCUGGGACCAUCUUGACCAUCUUAAUCAUCUCCAUUCUGAGCAUCUAUGUAUGUGUUAAAAAAAAUCGUAGAGCUACUAAUCAAGAUGGAAAUCUAGAGCCCCUCAACACAACAUAUGCUUCAGUACAGGAGACCUCUGCUCCCCCUCCUGUCGAGACUCUGUAUGCAGCUGUGGGACCAAGAGAAUGUCAAAGUAAACCAGUGAAACAUCCUGAGGAGACGACCAUAUAUUGUACUGUACAGGGGGCUCACAUUAACUCUUAGUGUUCAGCUGAGGACUGGGUGAUCUGUGAAAAACUGAAUCUUGAUACUCAGGCUUGGGGAACAUACAGACCUUUCACCUGAUCCAGUUUCACUUUGACCUUCUUUUGGAAAUCCUGUGAAUGUCCUGAGGAUUGAACAUCAUGGUUCAAGAUUUGGUUCCUCGCCUGAGAAGACCAGCAAGCCAGAGCUGGAACCAGCAUUCGAAAACAGUCGCUGAAAUGAGACAAAGGUCUGCGUUGUUGUUCUGAGGGCACGAGGAUGUUUCAGCCACGUGACGUUUUAAGUGGAUUCUCAUAUCGUGAUCAUCACUGGAGGAACACGUUACUUUCAAUGGUGGAGACCAGUGAUUGACUCUGAGUUCUAAACAUUACCUGGAGGUUCACAGAAUGAUCUACUGCCUCGUAGAAUCCAUGGUACUACAUCCAAAAAGACAAAAUAGACAAAAACACCUAGUUGGCUGACAUUCUAAAUUCGAGUAAAUUUCCUGCACUCAGACGACACUUUACAAUGUCUCCUUGUGUGUCUGCAAUACGACACUAGAGGCACAGUUAGACUAUAUUGGAAUGUGGAGCAAUUCUCAUUGGUUUGCUCCUGUUAGGUGUGAACAAACUGAAAGUGUAUUUUAGAGCAUAAUGUCUGAGUAGAGGCCAGCAGAGGAAUUUGAAGUGCCCUAAGAAUAUGCAGUCCUUUCUAUUACGAUUUUCUAGCUGUGGUGUAUUUUCCCAACCCAGAUAUUAUAGGUUUCUUUAGUGGAAUUUCAUUCCAAACACCAUUAUUAACCAUUCCCUAAAAUAAGACAAAAACCCAUUUAUUUACUGUUAAUUGGAAUACAGUUUGAAAUGGGCAACAUCCCAUGAAGUUCAUCCCAUGUGGAACACCUGUUGUCAAGGGCACGGU